rnacentral:rRNA from 1 species
UAUCAGGUAGUAGUGGGUGUAAUGUACCUACUAGCCUACGACGGGUACGGGUUGUGAGAGCAAGAGCCCGGAGAUGGAUUCUGAGACAUGAAUCCAGGCCCUACGGGGCGCAGCAGGCGCGAAAACUUUACAAUGCGGGAAACCGUGAUAAGGGGACACCGAGUGCCAGCAUCAUAUGCUGGCUGUCCGGGUGUGUAAAAUACACCUGUUAGCAAGGGCCGGGCAAGACCGGUGCCAGCCGCCGCGGUAACACCGGCGGCCCGAGUGGUGAUCGUGAUUAUUGGGUCUAAAGGGUCCGUAGCCGGUUUGGUCAGUCCUCCGGGAAAUCUGACGGCUUAACCGUUAGGCUUUCGGGGGAUACUGCCAGACUUGGAACCGGGAGAGGUAAGAGGUACUACAGGGGUAGGAGUGAAAUCUUGUAAUCCCUGUGGGACCACCUGUGGCGAAGGCGUCUUACCAGAACGGGUUCGACGGUUAGGGACGAAAGCUGGGGGCACGAACCGGAUUAGAUACCCGGGUAGUCCCAGCCGUAAACGAUGCUCGCUAGGUGUCAGGCAUGGCGCGACCGUGUCUGGUGCCGCAGGGAAGCCGUGAAGCGAGCCACCUGGGAAGUACGGCCGCAAGGCUGAAACUUAA